rnacentral:rRNA from 2 species
CUAUACUGUGAAACUGCGAAUGGCUCAUUAAAUCAGUUAUCGUUUAUUUGAUAGUACCUUACUACUUGGAUAACCGUGGUAAUUCUAGAGCUAAUACAUGCUAAAAACCCCGACUUCGGAAGGGGUGUAUUUAUUAGAUAAAAAACCAAUGCCCUUCGGGGCUCCUUGGUGAAUCAUGAUAACUUAACGAAUCGCAUGGCCUUGCGCCGGCGAUGGUUCAUUCAAAUUUCUGCCCUAUCAACUUUCGAUGGUAGGAUAGUGGCCUACCAUGGUAUCAACGGGUAACGGGGAAUUAGGGUUCUAUUCCGGAGAGGGAGCCUGAGAAACGGCUACCACAUCCAAGGAAGGCAGCAGGCGCGCAAAUUACCCAAUCCCGACACGGGGAGGUAGUGACAAUAAAUACUGAUACAGGGCUCUUUUGGGUCUUGUAAUUGGAAUGAGUACAAUUUAAAUACCUUAACGAGGAACAAUUGGAGGGCAAGUCUGGUGCCAGCAGCCGCGGUAAUUCCAGCUCCAAUAGCGUAUAUUAAAGUUGUUGCAGUUAAAAAGCUCGUAGUUGAACCUUGGGCCUGGCUGGCCGGUCUGCCUCACCGCAUGUACUGGUUCGGCCGGGCCUUUCCUCCUGGGGAUCCGCAUGCCCUUCACUGGGUGUGUUGGGGAACCAGGACUUUUACUUUGAAAAAAUUAGAGUGUUCAAAGCAGGCCUUUGCUCGAAUACAUUAGCAUGGAAUAAUAGAAUAGGACGUGCGGUCCUAUUUUGUUGGUUUCUAGGACCGCCGUAAUGAUUAAUAGGGAUAGUCGGGGGCAUCAGUAUUCAGUUGUCAGAGGUGAAAUUCUUGGAUUUACUGAAGACUAACUACUGCGAAAGCAUUUGCCAAGGAUGUUUUCAUUAAUCAGUGAACGAAAGUUAGGGGAUCGAAGACGAUCAGAUACCGUCGUAGUCU